UGCUAGUUCUCCCGCAACACUAGCGUGUGGACUCGGUCAGAUCCGGAAAGAAGCAGCCGCAGCAGGUAACGUGUGUGCCGGGAUGUGGCUGGUAGGG
rnacentral:SRP_RNA from 1 species